GAAUAUUCAUAUUUUCAGAUAUUUUUCCACCUUUAAGAAAACAGAGAAAUAGUAAAAAAAAAAAAAGACAAUCAUAAGCAGAGAGGCCAAGGUUGAUGAUGAUGACACAUUGAGACACUAUUCACAGCUUCGAUUCGAGUCUUUCUUUGACACCAAAAGGACUUCCCGCACAACUUGAACAAAGGAAGACGGGUUUAACGCAACUGGUGAUAACUCGAACAACAAAACCUGGUGGGUUUCGAGCCUUCGAGGCAACAUAUAAUUUUUCCGAGCCUUCGAGGCAACCUGAUAACUCGAACAAACGAAGGGGUUUCGAGCCUUGGAGGCAACAUAUAUUUUUUUUUACCAAUAAAAAAACUCGAACAACAAAGCCUGGCAUUUUCCAUGAAGAUGAAUCUACUUCUCAAAUUUGCGAUUAUACAUGUUCAAAAAUGAUGGAGGAACGGCAACCCCAUAUAAGCCUUGGAGGCAACAUAUAUUUUUCCUGGCAUUUUCCAUGUAGAUGAAUCUACUUCCCAAACAACUAGUCUCUUAGGGCGACCGGCGCCAGGUGGACCCGGUUGCUCGCAAUGAGAAUUACAGACUCAUACUACACAUGUUUAGUGUCAUGGGGUUGUUUCGAAUCCGAGUCGAUUAGCUCACCGGAAUUUGCCUACCACUACUGACCACCCAUGUGUGGUUAGAAAGGCCUUUUUCGGUUUGAUGGUAUAAUGGAACCGUGACAAUUUUUCAGGGAAGUAUAAGAGAAUGGUUAACAUGUUAUCGGGAAAUACAUUACAACUAUGACAUGAAAAGCAGCGUACCAAACCAUAAGAAUAACAGCAUCCAAGGAUAUUGAUCUCUCAUCUUCAGGUCGGUCGUCUACAACAACUAUUCUUUAAUCUUCUGUUAAGGUUUUUGAUAAAGUUUGUUUACUUGACAUGAUGUUUAUGGUGAAACAGUGGUGAUCACGACAUGCUUGUCCCUUUCCUUGCAACUCAAGACUGGAUAAGAUCACUAAACUAUUCCAUUAUUGACCACUGGAGGCCAUGGUUGGUUCACAAUCAAGUCGCUGGGUAUUAUAGUACUAUUUUUUUUUUUUCAUCACAGAAACAUAUAUGUGAAGAUCAUCAAUUUGUUCUCGUUGCAGGGCGGCGGGCACACGAUGGAGUAUAAACCAGAUGAGAACUCCGUUAUGUUCGAGAGAUGGGUUAGUGGCCAACCUCUUGAACAGCCUAUCAGCGAUUCGAUAACAAAAAUAACACUGCAAAAUCUUGAUAUGGUGAUGUAAUGUAUCUUUGUAACUGAGCCCAUAGUAUCCAGAUGUAUAAAGAGGUCGAGCCUCCAACGCUAAUAAACAAGAAAACCUUUA